rnacentral:lncRNA from 1 species
AUCUUCGGGCCACUGGCCAUUUUCCCCUAAGCAGGAGUUCCCAGUUAGGCUGAAGAUUCUUGGUGAUUAUUCUCCUGCUGAUGUUUCUUAGAGAAGGCACAGCCUUGUUCUGUAGAGGGAGGGUGGUGACAGGGCCACAGAGCUCCACAGAUGAUCCCCUCCUGACAAUUCAUGGGUGAUUUCCUGAGACAGAAUUGCAGACAUGGCACUGCCAGUUUCAGUAGUGGAAGACGUAACUUUGAUCAUGGAUUCUAUUAUGGGAGGAAUUCAGACAAGAAAAUAAACAACCAUGUUCAACCAACUGCUCUCGUCUUUGAAACAACUGUCUUGUCCAUUUGGUGUGUCUCACUAAAGACAACUGUCCUACAAGUGAAUGAUAACAGGGAGUUGAACACCUGCUAAAUGUUACCCUGUCACUGGGGACCAGACACAUCAUCUUCUCUACGGAAUCAAGACCAACAAUCUGGAGAAAACCUUUCUUGUUCAUGUCUAAUAUCACAUUUCUCUCUUCAUAAACAUACCCUCCUUCCCAUUUCAUCUCUCCCAGUCACCAUUCAUGGUCUGUAUGGUGUUACUGAAUUUCUGAGGAUUUAAGUAAAUUGAUUUGGUGUGUACACAAUAUAUGUGUGUCUCUGCAGAAAGUUGUUUAAUUUUAAAAACACACGAAUAUUU